GUCUUAUUUGUGUAUGAAAACUAUGGUGCCACUUCGUAAAUAAAUUAGGAGUAGAGAAGAUGCGGUAG
rnacentral:tRNA from 1 species